rnacentral:rRNA from 1 species
AACGAACGCUGGCGGCGCGCUUAACACAUGCAAGUCGAACGAGAAGGCGUAGCAAUACGCUUGUACAGUGGCGAACGGGUGAGGAAUACAUGGGUAACCUACCUCGAGCGGGGGAUAACCCGCCGAAAGGCGGGCUAAUACCGCGUACGCUUCCGAUCUUGCGGGAUCGGAAGGAAAGCUGCACCAUGGGUGUGGCGCUCAAGGAUGGGCUCAUGUCCUAUCAGCUGUUGGUAGGGUAAUGGCCUACCAAGGCAUCGACGGGUAGCUGGUCUGAGAGGACGAUCAGCCACACUGGCACUGCGACACGGGCCAGACUCCUACGGGAGGCAGCAGUGAGGAAUAUUGCGCAAUGGGCGAAAGCCUGACGCAGCGACGCCGCGUGGGGGAUGAAGGUNUUCGGAUUGUAAACCCCUUCGGGUGGAGACGGCCUCGACAACGAGGGCGGACGGUACCACC